UACACUCCUACGGGAGGCAGCAGUGAGGAAUAUUGGACAAUGGGUGGAAGCCUGAUCCAGCCAUCCCGCGUGCAGGAAGACGGCCCUAUGGGUUGUAAACUGCUUUUAUCUGGGGAUAAACCUACUUACGUGUAAGUAGCUGAAGGUACCAGAAGAAUAAGCACCGGCUAACUCCGUGCCAGCAGCCGCGGUAAUACGGAGGGUGCAAGCGUUAUCCGGAUUUAUUGGGUUUAAAGGGUCCGUAGGCGGACUGAUAAGUCAGUGGUGAAAUCCGACAGCUUAACUGUCGAACUGCCAUUGAUACUGUUAGUCUUGAGUAAGGUUGAAGUGGCUGGAAUAAGUAGUGUAGCGGUGAAAUGCAUAGAUAUUACUUAGAACACCAAUUGCGAAGGCAGGUCACUAAGUCUUAACUGACGCUGAUGGACGAAAGCGUGGGGAGCGAACAGGAUUAGAAACCCGUGUAGUCC
rnacentral:rRNA from 1 species